AGUGAACGCUGGCGGUAGGCCUAACACAUGCGAGUCGAACGGCAGCACAGUAAGAGCUUGCUCUUACGGGUGGCGAGUGGCGGACGGGUGAGGAAUACAUCGGAAUCUACUUUUUCGUGGGGGAUAACGUAGGGAAACUUACGCUAAUACCGCAUACGACCUACGGGUGAAAGCAGGGGAUAUUCGGACCUUGCGCGAUUGAAUGAGCCGAUGUCGGAUUAGCUAGUUGGCGGGGUAAAGGCCCACCAAGGCGACGAUCCGUAGCUGGUCUGAGAGGAUGAUCAGCCACACUGGAACUGAGACACGGUCCAGACUCCUACGGGAGGCAGCAGUGGGGAAUAUUGGACAAUGGGCGCAAGCCUGAUCCAGCCAUACCGCGUGGGUGAAGAAGGCCUUCGGGUUGUAAAGCCCUUUUGUUGGGAAAGAAAAGCAGCAGGUUAAUACCCCGCUGUUCUGACGGUACCCAAAGAAUAAGCACCGGCUAACUUCGUG
rnacentral:rRNA from 1 species